rnacentral:rRNA from 1 species
UACGAAGGGGGCUAGCGUUGCUCGGAAUCACUGGGCGUAAAGCGCACGUAGGCGGCUUUUUAAGUCAGGGGUGAAAUCCUGGAGCUCAACUCCAGAACUGCCUUUGAUACUGAGAAGCUUGAGUCCGGGAGAGGUGAGUGGAACUGCGAGUGUAGAGGUGAAAUUCGUAGAUAUUCGCAAGAACACCAGUGGCGAAGGCGGCUCACUGGCCCGGUACUGACGCUGAGGUGCGAAAGCGUGGGGAUCAAACAGG